rnacentral:misc_RNA from 1 species
CUUUGAAUGAAUUAAAUUUUCCCUUACAGAAAAUUGUCAAUUUAUAUAUGCCAUCCUGCUAAACACCAACUGCUAGCCCUCAACAAAUGCUUUGAAAAUGUGACAAACUUUCUUCUUUGAGUGAGGGCAAUGAAAUUUCGUAAAAUCAAAACUUUGCAGUGCAUCUCUAUAGACUGGGGUGCUGAGGGGUCCUUUUUGCUUAAACAAAGUUCCCCAGCUCAGAAAACCACUAAUGCUUGUUGGUCUAAUGCUUGAGGCUGAUGG